CACUUUUUUUUACGUAUUUUUUCAUCUUUUUGUUGUCAAUCUUAAUGUUAAACAACUGCUUAAGUAGUAAAAUUUAAGUUUAAAAAAUGAAUUUUUAGAAAAAAAAAAUUAGCAUGCAUCUCUAGUAUCGUGCUAGAUGCUAUUAUUUGGGUAAUAUUUGCCUUGCAUUGAUCAAUUUGUAGGGGCAAAAAGAGAUUGAAUGCUUAAAAUUUGAACAUUUAAUACUUAUUUGGAAUUGCAUGUAUAUUAUUUGUUGUCUUUUUAAUUUUUUGGUACAUUUUUAAUAAUUGUGCGCAUAUGUUUCAUUUGUAUUUGAUAAGAUUAUAUGUGUGUGUAAGUUCUUUCUGUUAAUGAUUUGCAGUGUCAUUCUUAACAAGUAUGAGUUUAAAUGAUUUGUAAGUUUUUUUCUAUUCGAUCGGCUUUUUUAACAUAAUAAUUUUUUCUUAAAUCUCGAGUAUUAUAGAUGGAUUCUAUGAAAGAUGAAAUUGUUAAGAGAAUGUAUCCUAAAGCCUCAAUGUAUGUUAUUCUCCUAGUAAUUUCGAUGGUGAAAAUCUCUCGAUUGACUCUCGGUUAUCAUGUUUUUUGGUUGUUGACUAUUCUAUGAUGAUUGUAUAUUUUUAACCAAGAUCAAUUUUCAUAAAUUUUUUUGAUCUAUGGGUCGUGGUUGAUUUUUCAUCAAUAACACAUGUUAUGCCAGUCAUAUGUUGCAAUGAUGAUUAUUAAUACACUUGAUGUAGCAACCCCACACUGAAAUUUGAGUGUAUUAGUCUAGCUAUCAUUGAUGUAUUAACUCUAAUAUGAGCUUAUGCACAUAAAUGAUGAGGCAAACCCUCUCAUUGUGUACAUAGAAAAACACGGUUUGAUUUUCUUCUACUUCUCUUAUUUCCUAUAGUAUGACCCCCUUCAUUGGUAUUGACUAUUCUUAAAAGACCCUCUUCAUUUUCCCAAGCAAAAAAAUUGCAUUUCCUUUUGGGAUACAUAACACAUCCCCAGAAACGUUUCUCCAUGUUCUUCCGGUACUUGCAGGUCAUCAGUGGACUUGGAAUGUUGCAAUGGCAAUGCACUUCAAAAUUUUGAGAUGUAAGCAUGUUGAAUUGCCUACAGGGUGAACACAAUAUAUUUGCAAAAAAUUUAUUUCUUUUUUCUUUUUCCUUUUUAUUUUAUUUUUUAUUUUAUUUUUAUUUUUAUUUUUUUGUGAUUGGCAAAUGCCAACAAUAAUUUAUUUUUAGACACAUGUCACUGUUGCUCAUAUAGUUGUUGCCCCUUAUUUUUUUUACCGUUGGAUAUUAAUGCUUAACUUCAUGGUAACCAUGUGUGAUAAGGUCGCCGAUGGUUAGCUCACAUUUGUUUCCCAUGAUGAUCUCCUUGCAUCCAAACAAGAAAAUUUUGAGGAAAUCCAAAUCUUAAAUUAAAGUUUCCUAUUUUUUGGUUACCAAACCAAACAGAGGAUUUAAUGCAAAAUAAUUUCUUGGCAAGUCUUUUUUUCCUCUUUUUUUAACAAAUAAAAACAUACCACUUUAUAAGAAAGAUGGAGAAACUCAUGGAGAGGCAUUUUCGCUCAUGGAAAUGCAUUUUUGGUCAUGGAAAGACUUUCCAAAAUUAUAUAAUCUCUAUAAGAAAGAUGGAGAAGCUUCAUGAGAAGGGCAAGUGCUUUUCAUGGUUAUCGGUCAAAUAAGUUGCCCCUUUUUUUGAAACAAACAAAAAAAGCACUGUAGAAUAUGUAGAAUAUUCAACAUUCUACCAUGUUCAUGUGUGAUUAUGAAGGUGUUUGGAGGAGCUUAUUUUAAGAAGCUUUUAAGGUGUUUGGACUUUGGAGGAGCUUGUUUUUACAAGCUUUUAAGCUAUGUCAGCUUUUGGUAGCUUUUAACUCUUAUGAUAAAAAAAUAUAGAACUUAUUUGGGCAGAGUAGUAAUUUGUUUGGCUAAAUCUAGUUUAUUUGGGCGAGCUUAUAAGCUAGUUUUUUGAAAGCUAGGGUAACUUUUCAAAAUUGGACUUAAAGGCAACUUAUUCAAUGUUUUAACAAACAUGUACACAUGAAAAAACCAACUUAAAGCGUAAUUUGUGCAAUAAAAUUAACCUUCCCAAACCCCUUAUAUAUACUAACACAAUAAAUGGCUGUUUGGUUUAGUUUUUUUUAAUAGAUUGGGGAGGGAAUGGGAAUGAUAGUGUCUGUAUUCUCAAAAGUUAUUUCAUCCAAUUCCUAUUCUUAAGUUUGGUUCGCUUUUAUUUUAUAGAAUGUAUAUUCUAUAAAGUAGAUAAAGAUGAGUUUUUUUUAUGGAAACCCCCAUCCUCUCAAAUUGAUAGGAAUUAAGAUUAGAACUCUGACACCUACUAAUACAUUUCAUCCAUCUGUAUGCUCCUCUCCUAUUUUUUAUGGAAUGAACUAAACACAAGAGUACAAGUAAUAAAGCAUACCAUCAACUUCUAAUUUAUAUAAUAAAAAAAUUAAAAGAAAGACGUGCACAAGCUAUUUUAGUACCCUAUUCCUUUUUUUAACAGAAUGAACCAAACGGCCCUCAAUAUUCAACAUUCUAACCUGGAAAUCAUGAAAGAGCGACCUGGCUACCAAACUACUUGGAAAUUAAAAUGUCUCUUCUUUUUCGCCAUCAAUUUUCCAAAUACGCACCUCUCUAUAGUUUUCUUCACUGAGGGGCUGUUUGGUUGAAAAAAAUUCCCUUGAAAGCCUGCCAAAGUGUCAUUUCUUUGGCAAGCUUUAAUAAAAAACGCCUCUAAAAAAGAGGACUUUGCUUGAAAGCCUGCCAAAAAAUGACACUUUUGACAGACUGUUUUCCCUCAAAAACAGGGAACCAAACAGCCCCUGAUUGUUUUCUUCGUCUUCUCUUUCUUGAAACCCUAACCGUAGCACUAAUGCUUGGGCGGCGGCCGGAGAAUCUCGAUGGAUGCUUCUUUUCACUUGACGGAGGUUCAAAACCCUAGGCCAGAUUUAGGGUUUUUGGAGGCUGCUUCCGUUUCUUGCUAAAUGGGAUGCGGAUUGAUUUGUAGUAAAGAGAUUGUUUUCCCUCUUACCUUUGUGCAUUCUCUCAACAUUUCAAUGGAUUCUCCAUACAUUUUGAUUGAUCGCGCGUUUUAUUUUGUCACAUCUUUUAGGUGAACCUUGGAUUCCAUUGUAUCGAAGAGUUCUUAAAUUGUUGGAUGAAUUGCUUGCGCUUUGCUCAAUCGAGUUAUAGUUUAAUAAAGUUUGCAUCUUUCUGUGAAAUUGUUUUGUCUUUUUGUUCAACUUAUUUGCAUUUAGUGAAGGUGUUCUAAUACUUAUUGUAUCUGAAAAAAGAUGAAUUUUGACAUGGUUUAGAGGAAUUUAGCUGUAAUUGAAGAUUAAGAAUGGGUGUGGAUAAAGGGGGUGCUAAGAGUUGUUCCCCUGUUUGAUUGGAACAAAAAAAAUCCCCGAAGAAGUUGUUGUUCAGUGGAUCAGUUUCACUGGUUAACUUUCUUCUUCAAUGUGAAGUUGUAUAACUCUUGUUGCAUUUGGUUGAUGAUGACGGAGCUGUAGGAGUAUCUAGUGGGAAGGGGAGUAGUCACUAUAGUUGUGCAUCAUCGGUGACUGAUGAAGAAGGAAUCUCCAUUAGGGCCCCGGGAGUAGUAGCCCGUCUUAUGGGAUUGGAUUCCGUGCCUACAUCAGGUUGUCUCUGAACUCAGUUCCACGCCAUUCUUUGAUACGCAAUCUCUAUGCGACCAGCAAAACCAUAGUCCUGAAUUUUACAUUAAUGAUCAGUUCGAUCACGUAGUUGACAGAGCUGAUGGAUAUGCUAGGAGAUCUAUGGAGCUGUGAGCUCAAAAGAUGCUGAGCAGUCCAAUAGAGAGAUUUCAGACAGAAACUUUACCUCCAAGGUCUGCUAGGUCUCUCCCAUUAGUCACCACAAGCUGUUGUCACCGAUUAAAAACUCUAGGGUUUUCUCAUCCAAAAAUGCAGCACACAUUAUGGAGGCGGCUGCAAAGAUUCUUGAUCCUGGAUAUGGUUAAAGUUUCCUCAUUUGCGUCAUUUGUCUAUUCCCUUGAGGGUUCGUGAUUCAAAGGAGAAUAUGGUGGUUCCUGAGUCCCGGAGAACAUCUAGGACUCUAGAGUCGGUUAGAAUCCCUGUUGAUUCAAUGGAUUUUAGGCAUCUUAAUAGAGGGAAACCCUUGAACAAGAGUUGGAAUGGACCAGAAGAUACUGCAGUACCAAGACGGUCUCCAGAUCUCAGUGAUCCCAAUCUAGCUGAUGCGAAGAAAAAGAAGGAAUCCAUGUCUUUUACAGUUCAGACUAAAGUUAAUGCUCAGAGAAGGGAGGGCUUUAAGCUCAUCCCUUAGGAGCUCCCUAGCUAAGAAACAGAAUGAUGAAUGCACUU